rnacentral:SRP_RNA from 1 species
GCUGGGCAUGGUUGUGCAUGCCUGUAAUCCCAGCUACUUGGGAGGCUGAGGCAGGAGAAUCACUUGAACCCAGGAGGCGGAAGUUGCAGUGAGCCGAGAUCAUGCCACUGCACUCCAGCCUGGGCAACAGAGUGAGACCCCGUCUCAA